rnacentral:tRNA from 1 species
AGGAUAGUAGUUAAAUAUAACAUUUGGGUUGCAUACAAAAAGUACUAAUAAUUUAUUAGUCUAUCUUA